UUGCAGAAGUCUUCAUAUUUCUAGAAGGAAGGACUGCAGAAGACAUUUUUGCCCCAGGGAGGCAGGAAUAGAAGCUACAGAAACGAUGAGCACCCUUGGGGCCAAUGGGCAGUCACCUCUAGGGUCUGACUCCAGAAGCUCAGAAGAAGAAGAGAAAAAGCCCAAUCAUUUUGGAGUUGGGAAGAGGCUAGAACAUGGCUCCUGAUUCUGUGACCUUGAGCUUCAUAGAGGAACUGAAAGACUCCUCUAUAAAAAGGUUCAUAUGAUGGCAAGUUGAUGCUGGGAAACAAGGGAAAAAUCGGACAGACUCUUGCAAGAGCCAUAAAUAAUGUGUGAUUAUACAGCAGCAAUUAUCUACAGGUGGGAGGAUUAGUGUAUUUUAAGAAAGCAUUUCAGUCUGUUUUUGUUUUCUGUGUAUGUUUCUAUUUUUAUUUUUUGUUUUUAUUUUUUGUUCAUAAACUAUAGAAAGUAAAACUUUCUAGUUGUAGGGGAUAUUCAAAACAUGGAGUGAGAAAGCACAAGGGUUAUGGGUAAUAAAGGUUGAGAAACACAACGAUAAAGAGGUAAGACUGAUUUUUCAUUAACAUACAGAACUGAGUGAAACCUUUUAAAAGAGUCAUCCGUAGAUACAAAUUUUGGUAACGCCUAAAAGUGACAAGCAUAUGGCCAUGUACUUGAACAAGUCUACAAAGGUAUAAAAUGAGUGGAAUUUAUAGUUAUAAUCAAAACUCACUGCAGUGCCAACCUGACACAUGAUAGCAGCCAUAUUUGUAAGGUGCUUUACAGUUUACACAACACUUUUUCCCUCAUUCUCUCUUUUGCCAUAUAUUUAAUGAUAGG